GAGUUUGAUCAUGGCUCAGAGCGAACGCUGGCGGCAGGCUUAACACAUGCAAGUCGAGCGGGCGUAGCAAUACGUCAGCGGCAGACGGGUGAGUAACGCGUGGGAACGUACCUUUUGGUUCGGAACAACACAGGGAAACUUGUGCUAAUACCGGAUAAGCCCUUACGGGGAAAGAUUUAUCGCCGAAAGAUCGGCCCGCGUCUGAUUAGCUAGUUGGUGAGGUAAUGGCUCACCAAGGCGACGAUCAGUAGCUGGUCUGAGAGGACGACCAGCCACACUGGGACUGAGACACGGCCCAGACUCCUACGGGAGGCAGCGGUGGGGAAUAUUGGACAAUGGGCGCAAGCCUGAUCCAGCCAUGCCGCGUGGGUG
rnacentral:rRNA from 1 species